rnacentral:lncRNA from 1 species
CCGAUAUGAACUUUAUACAAAUCACGUGAUGGAUCAUGGAUACAAUGGAUUCAAACACGGAUGCAUGUUUCUAUCAGCAAGAGAGAAGACCGACCAAGCUAGAGUUGGGAUGGUGGGAGAAGGGAAAAGCCCAACGACGGCCAAUUUGGAUUUCAACUUUUUUAUGAUCCCUUUCUGAAGUGAUGCGCUCCUCUGUAUACAUAAGGAUAUUCUCCACUUGGGCCUCGUGGGUCGGCCUUGACAUCUCUAUGUGUGCUUGUUGGGUUAUUCCCGUGACAUCGGCUUUGUUUUGAAGAAGUAACUAUUGAUUAUAUCACAUACCAACGAGGCAUCCCCUUAGAAAGACAUAUUGGCGAGGCAAUAAUAUUACAUAUAACAUGGGCAGAUAGAACACAUUCACGGCUUUUGUAUUUAUUCUCGAACAAGGUCCUAAAAUACCGACCAUAUAAUCCCAACCAGAACCUAAUCCAUCUGAUGAUAUAAGGUGCUCGACUCCUCGUGGCUCCAUGUCAUCUAUGCUCCUCGGUCCAUUUCUUAAGAGCAUCUACAGUCGAAUCCCUCAAAUGACAUCUUA